AUUGAACGCUGGCGGCAUGCCUUACACAUGCAAGUCGAACGGUAACAGGUCUUCGGAUGCUGACGAGUGGCGCACGGGUGAGUAAUACAUUGGAACGUGCCCAGACGUGGGGGAUAACGAGGCGAAAGCUUUGCUAAUACCGCAUACGAUCUAAGGAUGAAAGCAGGGGACCGCAAGGCCUUGCGCGUUUGGAGCGGCCGAUGGCAGAUUAGGUAGUUGGUGGGAUAAAAGCUUACCAAGCCGACGAUCUGUAGCUGGUCUGAGAGGACGACCAGCCACACUGGGACUGAGACACGGCCCAGACUCCUACGGGAGGCAGCAGUGGGGAAUUUUGGACAAUGGGCGAAAGCCUGAUCCAGCAAUGCCGCGUGCAGGAUGAAGGCCUUCGGGUUGUAAACUGCUUUUGUACGGAACGAAAAGGCUCUGGCUAAUACCUGGGGCACAUGACGGUACCGUAAGAAUAAGCACCGGCUAACUACGUG
rnacentral:rRNA from 1 species